AAAAGAGAGGAACAAGUAUCUCCUUAGAAUAUAGUCACUCCAGCCUGAGAGACGGUCACUCCAAGGUAAUGGCUUCGUUUUCUUUGAUUGUAAUUAGACCAUGCCUUGCUCACUUUGCACACUAACAGAAAGCUAAAAAGCCUAUAAAAGGAAUAAUACUUGGAAUAACUUACCUCAAAGCACAUUUAGGAAGCUGUUGGGUGAACUGAAGGUGAGGCUAGCCCAUUCUGAAGACACCCUUCCCACACCUAUCUUCCAAGUAAGUCCACAGCGUUAUCCCAUCCUAUCACCCACUGCCAGUCGCUGUCUCUAAAGCCUGUUAUCAGUUGCCACAAAAGAGGCCAAGUGAUUAUUAAAACGCCCAGUGGAGCCUGAACUCUAAGAUGCUGAAGGCUACUCAAUUGGGGCCACUCACAAACCUCUUUAGAGGUUUACCAACACCUCCUAAUCCACCUUCAGGACCCCUUCACAGCUCUUAGUCUGCCUUGAUGCCCUCCUUUGGCUAUCAGACUACUGAGACAGAGGGCUCCAAGAAACUAGACUUCUCCCAGGAAACUCCUCUGGGGAGAGGAAAAGGCUGGAGAGGUUUCUGGAGGACAAAAAGAGAUGUAUAACAAGUCAGAACAACAGACAAACUGAUGACAAGAUAGAAAAUUACAGAGACGGGAAGAGAAAAGAGGCACCCCAACUGAUCUCAUCAGCCAAGAGGCGAGAAUUCCAGCACACUUAAUACCACUUUCAGUGAAACCUGUCCAUUGUGGUGGCUAAUCUUAGUAGUCAAGUUGACUACAUCUGGAACCAACGAGAACCCAAGAAGCUGGGCAAAAGCCUAUGAGGGAUUUUCUUGGUUGGACGAUUUGAGGUAGGAAAACCCACCCAAAAUCUAGGUCACACCUUCUGGCUGCAGUCGAAAAAACCAGACAUGGAAAAAGGAAGCUUUUGUUUUUUGCUCAUUUGCCCUUAUACUUGCUGGCAACAUCUUUCGUGUUGUUGAUACAUUGCUUCAGUGGCAUUGGAUCUACCUCUUCAGGAUUCCAACAAAGACUGAAGACCAGCAGCUUUCUGGGAAUCCUCCAUGACACCAGCACCAGAUUGGAACCUUUGAGAUGUCCAGUCUACUAGACUGAACAACCACCAAAUUCUUGGCCUUUCUGGUGAGGGACAACCAUUGUUGAACUGCCCAGACCACAGCCUGUAAUCCACUCUAAUAAAUCAUCUAUACACAUGUGA